AUGGAUAGGCAAAGCACACCUCCUUCGGUCUACAACAACAACGACGAGUUCCAUGCCACAAAAAACUUCAUUGACGCCAAGAUGCAAGCUCAAAUGAAGGAGGUCAAAACCCUCAUCAAGUCCUACAAGAGGUCUUCCACAUCUUCGAGAAGACGCUCAAGUGCACAUGCUUCCGAGCUACCAUCUCCGGCAAGGUCACAUCGGCAUCGACACCAUCAACAACAAGUACGUGAAGGUCAAGAGUGCUACCUCUUGAGCACUGCGUUGGUUUUCCCUGUAAGAGGAAAGGGUGAUGCAGCAAAGUAG
rnacentral:rRNA from 1 species